rnacentral:rRNA from 1 species
UACGAGAGCCUCGAGCGUUAUCCGGAAUUAUUGGGCGUAAAGGGUGCGUAGGUUGUUCUGUUAGUCUUUUGUCAAAGCCUUGGGCUCAACCCAAGAUACGCGAAAGAAACGGCAGAACUUGAAAGUGCGAGAGGCGUACGGAACUCAUGGUGUAGGGGUGAAAUCCGUUGAUAUCAUGGGGAACACCAAAAGCGAAAGCAGUACGCUGGUGCAUAUUUGACACUGAAGCACGAAAGCGUGGGUAGCGAAUGGG